AGGAAUUUCAAAACGCGCAUCUAUUUAAAUGACAGUGACCUGCCAUAAAUCAAGUGGGAAACAAAAGGGGAAAACAGUUUAAGUGAGAGAGAAGUUGAAGUGGAGGAAAAAUUAAUCAAAACAGUUCUCAAAAAAAACUUCAUCGUAAGAGCCUGUGAAAAAAAAAAUUUCGGGCCUACAGCAUCUCCAUGGCAACAGAGAACAAGCACAUGUUGGAUACCAAAAUCAUAAAAGCCCAAUCUGGUCAGAGAAACAAGGCGCAGGAGGAGAGCCGCGUCCUACCCAGGGCACCCCGGAGCAGAGGACCGCGAUCGCUGCCGGGUCAUUGGCUCCAUCCCGGCUCUCCGGCCCCAUCCCGGCUCUGCGUCCCCAUCGCGCUGUCGGCCGGGCUCUGCCUGGACUCUUCCCGCCAGGCAACAGCCCAGCGUCGUGCACGGGUGCUCUUAUUCCCCAAACUCUUGGACUUUUAAAUCAAUUAUUAAAUUUUAAAAAUCCAAAA